rnacentral:RNase_P_RNA from 1 species
UACUUAUGAUAGUUUUGGACCGUGAGGAAAAGUCCGGGCUCCACCGGAAAAGAUGCCGGAUAACAACCGGGCGGGAUUGAAUAGUUGUCAUGCAGGUCUUCCUGUAUCGGCAUAACUUCACACCCCGACAGAAAGUGCUACAGAAAAUAACCGCCUCACAAGGGUAAGGGUGAAAAGGCAGGGUAAGAGCCUACCGCGUCGCUGGCAACAGGGACGGCAUAAGCAAACCUCAUCUGGAGCAAGAUCAUGCAGCAGUUUGCCGUUCCGGGCUUAUACUGCGGGUAGAUCGCUGGAGAUGUCGGGCAACCGGCAUUGCGGAUAGAUGGCCACAUGCAAUUUAUUGCAUACCAGAACCCGGCUUACCGUA